GUCACCAAAUCUGACAAAUCUAUUGGCUAAUAUUUCUCAGACCCAAUUAUUGACACACUUAUAGACCAAUCAUAUUCACAAAGAAUGAUUUUCAUUGGCCUCUUCUGUCUAUCAAUCAAAAUAUACGCAAACGUGUGAUCCUCACAUCAUCUUGAAGAUUUGUCCUACAUCCUUUAUGCCGGCUAAAAUCAUAUCUCAUUUUAAACGAUACUUUCUUCACCAUAUUUUGAUCCAAUAAACCACACAGAGUACAUGAUUAAGAGAGGCACCUGUUGACUAUUUAAAAUAUGUGAAACCUUUUCACAUAAAAUGGUAGAACUAAGAACAAGCUCACAGAUGUAAUAUGACUCUGACCUGGGGCCCCAUUGCAACCAUCUCCUUGGAAGCCAUGGGUUUCUGGGAUCUCCUCCUUAGGAAUUGAUCAAGUAUACUAGGAGACACCAUAGAGGAGAAAGCAUGUAUAUUUCAGGUGAGAGUAAUGCAUGUUGUGUUGUGUGAGGUCAACCUAU
rnacentral:lncRNA from 1 species